GACGAACGCUGGCGGCGUGCUUAACACAUGCAAGUCGAACGCUGAAGCUUGGUGCUUGCACUGGGUGGAUGAGUGGCGAACGGGGGAGUAAUACGUGAGUAACCUGCCCUUGACUCUGGGAUAAGCCUGGGAAACUGGGUCUAAUACUGGAUACGACAUGCCACUGCAAGGUGGUGUGUGGAAAGGGUUUUACUGGUUUUGGAUGGGCUCACGGCCUAUCAGCUUGUUGGUGGGGUAAUGGCCUACCAAGGCGACGACGGGUAGCCGGCCUGAGAGGGUGACCGGCCACACUGGGACUGAGACACGGCCCAGACUCCUACGGGAGGCAGCAGUGGGGAAUAUUGCACAAUGGGCGGAAGCCUGAUGCAGCGACGCCGCGUGAGGGAUGACGGCCUUCGGGUUGUAAACCUCUUUCAGCACGGAAGAAGCGAGAGUGACGGUACGUGCAGAAGAAGCGCCGGCUAACUACGUG
rnacentral:rRNA from 1 species